rnacentral:tmRNA from 1 species
GGGGGCGACAGGCUUCGACAGGGGUUAGUACGGUCUUUGAAUGCACGUCGGGCUUGCUUUCGGUAGCUCGUUAAAACACUGGAAGAAAAACAAUUGCCAAUAAACAAGAAUUGGCUCUCGCAGCCUAGUUAAUUCUAGAAACUCGAGCGUCUCACCGUCGGUUUGCUCAAGACGGACGGAGCGAGAUGUCACCCAAAUUGAGCUAGCGCCAGUUCUCCGCCUGCGGCUGGUGCGAAAUUUAAAGUCAGGAUAGCUGUUCGAAAGGUCUUGUCAGUUCACUUACUUUCGAGCGGCGAAAUUUUAAAGAGAAUUGACUAAACGUGUAGAUUUCAAGAGCGACAACCUUUGGAUGCGGGUUCGAUUCCCGCCGCCUCCAUUU